rnacentral:tRNA from 1 species
GUUGUGGCUCAGCGGUAGAGCACUCGCCUAGCAUGUACGAGGCCCUGGGUUUGAUUCUCAGUACCACA